AACGAACGCUGGCGGCAUGCCUAACACAUGCAAGUCGAACGAAGCCUUCGGGCUUAGUGGCGCACGGGUGCGUAACACGUGGGAAUCUGCCCUUUGGUUCGGAAUAACAGUUGGAAACGACUGCUAAUACCGGAUGAUGACGAAAGUCCAAAGAUUUAUCGCCAGAGGAUGAGCCCGCGUAGGAUUAGCUAGGUGGUGUGGUAAAGGCGCACCAAGGCGACGACCCUUAGCUGGUCUGAGAGGAUGAUCAGCCACACUGGGACUGAGACACGGCCCAGACUCCUGCGGGAGGCAGCAGUGGGGAAUAUUGAACAAGGGGCGAAAGCCUGAUCCAGCAAUGCCGCGUGAGUGAUGAAGGCCCUAGGGUUGUAAAGCUCUUUUACCCGGGAUGAUAAUGACAGUACCGGGAGAAUAAGCCCCGGCUAACUCCGUGCCAGCCGCCGCAGUAA
rnacentral:rRNA from 1 species